AUUGAACGCUGGCGGCAGGCCUAACACAUGCAAGUCGAACGAGUGGCGGACGGGUGAGUAAUGUCUGGGAAACUGCCUGAUGGAGGGGGAUAACUACUGGAACCGGUAGCUAAUCCCGCAUACCAUCAGAUGUGCCCCGCUGGGAUUCGCGAGUUGGUGGGGUAACGGCUCACCAAGGCGACUAUCCCUUGCUGGUCUGAGAGGAUGACCAGCAACAGGGGAACUGAGAAACGGGCCAGACUCCUGCGGGAGGCGGGAGGGGGGAAGAUUGCACAAUGGGCGAAAGGCUGAUGCAGGCAUGCCGCGUGUAUGAAGAAGGCCGUCGGGUUGUAAAGUACAUUCAGCGGGGAGGCGUUACCCGCAGAAGAAGCACCGGCUAACUCCGUGCCAGCCGCCGCGGUAAUAC
rnacentral:rRNA from 1 species